AUCAACCUGUAAAAGUUUUCACAAUUCCAUUAGGCUCCUAAAUUGUAACCAUCCGACCAUAGAAACGAAGAAUGUUGUACAGAAAAAAAACAAUUUUAACAAUAUAAAAUCUGCCAAACCCUUUUAAAAUGGAAUUAGAGCAAACAAAUUGUAAUUAUAUGACCUGGACCGAAUUGAACUUGUUGAGGUCGGAGACCCCAUUCCAAAUACAAUAGAUCAAACAAAUUAAAAAAAAAGUCUAACCAUUAAUACAAUAUGGUAUUUAACAAUAUAAAAUCUGGCAAACCCUUGCAAUGAAAUUAAACCAAACAAAUUAGGAUUGGUGUCUAACCUUUAAUACAAUAGAUCGAGAGUGAACAUGAAAUCAAAGUUGUUCAGAUUCUGUUUUUGAGUUAGGUUUUUGAAGGAAUCUCCACACGAAGAAGACGAAGAGUUAAGAAAGAGAGAGAGAGAGGCAGCGACGGAUCGAAAGGUAAGAAGAAGCCAAAAAAGAAAUUGUUGUACUGUUUUUAGCACGUUACAUAACAAACAUUUUCCCGGAGUUAUUAGUUGGGCUAAUAAAAAAUUGAGGACAAUAUUUAUAUGGGCCAGAUUUUAUGUAACGGGUAAAUAAUUUUGGAAUUAUAUGUUGUAUGGCCCAAUUUUGUAAAUAAUAGACAUUUACAUUUUUUAUAUAAAACAAUUUAAACAAUACUAUAUUUUAUGUAGCAUUUUAUUGUUGUUUUUUUUGUGGAAAAUUUAAAAACCCUUAACUGAAAUAUAUUAUAUUUAAAAAACACUAUUUUGUAUAUAUAGUAUAAUCUUAAUUAGUUUAGUCACAUUUAAAUAGUUAGAGGAUACAAUUAUCAGAAAAUAAAUUUAUUAUUAAUAACAUUUCAUAUAAUUUUUUUUUAAAAUUAAAAUUUUCAAUAUGUCUAAAAAUUUAGAAAAAAAUUAAUAAAAAGCAAGUGGUACAUAUAUGAUUAGUCCAAAUUUAUAUAAAACAAAAAUUGCACAAGUUAUACAUUUUCAAAACAAACUGCACAAGUUAUAAAAAGAAACAAUUUUUUUUAAUAAUCUAAUAAUAAUGUUUCAUUUGUGCCAAAAAAAAAUAUAUUUUGAUUACAAAAUCAGAUUGACAAGUACAUCAGAGUACCCGUUAGAACACGAUUCGUUUUUUGGGAUAUUGUGUUUUUAGACCUUUAAUACAGUUCAGAUAUUAUAAAUUACUAGAAUGAGUUUGAGUCGGACUAUCCUAUGUCUGUUUAAGUUUGUAGGAACCAAGAAAAAUGUAAAUAAAUUACAUUGACAACAAUGUCGUUAAAUAGUUUAGAUAUAUAAAAAUAAAAUUCAAAACCUGCGCGGACGCGCGGGUCAAAAUCUAGUAAUCUAUUAAGACUGAAGUACAAAAAAAAAUAACCCUCAGUUUUCUUCAAUAAUUACAUUACCCAUGCCACUGCCAUAAAGCUAUGCCGUUUUGUACUGACUCAUUAUUUUGGAAUUGAAACGUGCUGGGCUUAUGAAACCUUAUGGCCCAUAUGAUAAUCACAAUUAUAUUAUUCAACCUUCAAACCGAAUACCGAAUUCACAUCACGUCCGACAAAAGAUUUAAUGCCAGUACCAUUAAAAAAAGAAAUUUUUACUUUUUAAGACACUUUCUCACUUAUGAAUUACACAUAAAAACACAUAUGGCUGGAGACACACUUUAUUGAUGUGCAAUGUCUAUCAUGCCCUCUAAUAAGACUCAAUUACACUUUCUUCUGACUCUAACUAAGCAAUAAAAUAAUUUCUAUGAGAAAUUCAAAAAUCAAUUCUCUCCCCAAUUUCGAUUUCAAAUCUCAGAUCUAUUUUUACUUUUCCAAAUUCCCUAGAAACUCUCUCCUUCAACCUUUCUCUGCAAUGUUUUGUUUUUCUCUGUGUUUCUUUUUGCUUUCAAUUAUAAUAUCACAAACCUCAAAAAUUCAUAGCUCUUUCUCACGGUAAUCUGUAAGAGCUUGUUUUUUUGACCAAACCAACUCCACCUCCCAAUCUAUCUAUGAGCUCGAUUCCUUGCGCUCACUACGGCAUAGAAACGUCAACACCUCUAUGUGCAACCACCGCUGGGUUAGGACCAGUGGAAAGGGGAUGUGGAGGAGCAAGAGGAAGAAGAAGACAAGAAAGUUGCGUUUGAAUGUGUGACGACGGCACCUCUCUACUUCAGGGGAGGACGGCUGAACCUGUGCGACGACAAACACAUAGAAUGGCUGGAAUCGGGGAGGUUCAUGGAGCUGAUGAUGUCGACGGGUUUGAUCUGCUACUAGUCGGUGAGCUGGGUCAUGCUCGAGAGCCAAAACAACAAUGGCAAAUUUUCAGUUUUUUUGCAACUGUGGUCACUCACGUUUUGAUUAUUCACGCUUUCACCCAAGAUUCAUAAAAUGUACAAAACGUUUUCUUGAUUUAGAUGAUAACCAUAUCCACACCUCAUUUUUGUUGAUUACUCGCAAAUAUUUUUUCCUCUAUCCACAAUAUGUGUCGACAAUUUAUUUUGUUCAUAACAUUUUCAUCUACAAAUGUGUAAUGCACUCAAGUUUUUUCU